GUACAAUACUGGGAGGAGGAGAAUCAAACCAGGAUGUACCUGCUGAAGAUUUAGCUAAUCGCGAGGGCAGUGCAGAAUUUCGAUAUUCGCAAACUGAUCACCACUUUGCAGUGCUUCAAAAACAAUUAAAGACUUGGCUUUUUUAUCGAGAUGUGUGCACCGGCUGUUCCUACAAUUGCUCACCUGUUUGAGAUGGAUGGCAUGCCUGGCAUGUCCAGCGUCAAUGAUGAAGUGACAAUUGUUGAUAUCUGGGUGAUGAAGGACUAUGAAAGCAAGAUGUGGCCUUCAGGUGCCGGGUUGAAUUGCCGGUUGCGGGGAUCAAGAUGUGGUUUGGAAUAAAUGGAUGUUGUUGGAAUUGGAAUGUGGUGGCCAUUCCUCAUGGCGAUCUUCUCGUGCUGGUCGAAAUUGGUGAUCGGCUGAUUCAGCUUGACAUGGAUAGCAAGUUGGUUGCCAGUUUCCGUCGUAACUACCUCAAUCUUACUCAAUUUCGGCUCAAACAAACCCUUGUUCAGCAUGCCUCUUUCCGACGCUAGAGUUGCCUUUCAUAUGAUGGCUGUCGAGUGAGGUGUUGCUUCUUUACGGCCUAGCUGCCCACAUCUGCAAUAUGUAUGUAGCUGAUCGAUCGCUCCACUAAGCUUUGAUGAUGUAUAAAAAGUCAUGCUGAAGAAACUUUGAUUGUUAGAGUUGCCUUUCUUUGAAUAUCCUUUGGGCUGAAGUGCCUGUCGUGGGUGCUGACGAUAUUGUCAAUUCAUCAUUUGAUCUGUCUCA